CAACUAUCAAUCUUACAUAGUAAAAAACAUAAAAUGAGUUCAAAGGUUGUUGUUCUCCUCGGCCUUUCUUUGGUCGUGUUUGUCAUGAUCGCUUCCGAGGUUACGGCCAGGGAAAUGGCCGAGACGACUACUACAUUUAAUCCAACAGAAGCUGAGAAAGCAAAUGGGCUUGUUGGAGAUGACAAGCACCAUGGCGGUGGAGGGUGGUGCAAACACGGUUGUUGCGGCCAUGGCCACCACGGGGGCUGCAGUAUGUGCUGCUCAUACAAGGGGCAGACCAUGGAGGAUGCAGCCAAGCCUUAAGCAAAGCCUCAUUGCUAAUGUGUGAGAUGUAGGGUGUGGUGUACCUCUACUAUAUUGCCAUAUAUCCUACAUAUAUGCAUGUGAAAAACUAUAAGAAAUUGUUGCAAUCUGUAAUAAUAUAAUGCAUGUAGUGAACUAUCACCUACGCAUUAUCUUUAUCAUAAAUAAAAGAUCAGGUUGCUAUACACUUA